AGAGUUUGAUCCUGGCUCAGGACGAACGCUGGCGGCGCGCUUAACACAUGCAAGUCGAGCAAUCGGCCGGGCCUUCGGGCCCGGUACGGAGCGGCGAACGGGUGAGUAACACGUGGGUAACCUGCCCUCGGUUCCGGGAUAACUCCGGGAAACCGGUGCUAAUACCGGAUGGCCUCCGUUGCCUUCGGGCGGCGGAGAAAAGGUAGCUUCGGCCUCCGACCGAGGAGGGGCCCGCGGCCGAUUAGCUUGUUGGUGGGGUAAUGGCUCACCAAGGCGACGAUCGGUAGCUGGUGUGAGAGCAUGAUCAGCCACACUGGGACUGAGACACGGCCCAGACUCCUACGGGAGGCAGCAGUGGGGAAUCUUGCGCAAUGGGCGAAAGCCUGACGCAGCGACGCCGCGUGCGGGAAGAAGGCCUUCGGGUUGUAAACCGCUUUCAGGAGGGACGAAGCCACUCGGGUUAAUAGCCCAGAGGGUGACGGUACCUCCAGAAGAAGCCCCGGCUAACUACGUGCCAGCAGCCGCGGUAAUACGUAGGGGGCAAGCGUUGUCCGGAUUUAUUGGGCGUAAAGCGCGUGUAGGCGGCCAGGUAGGUCUGGUGUGAAAUCUCGAGGCUCAACCUCGAGCUGUCAUCGGAAACCACUUGGCUAGAGUCCGGAAGAGGAGAGUGGAAUUCCCGGUGUAGCGGUGAAAUGCGCAGAUAUCGGGAAGAACACCCAUGGCGAAAGCAGCUCUCUGGGGCGGUACUGACGCUGAGACGCGAAAGCGUGGGGAGCGAACAGGAUUAGAUACCCUGGUAGUCCACGCCGUAAACGAUGGGUGCUAGGUGUGGGUGGUGUCGACUCCAUCCGUGCCGAAGCUAACGCAUUAAGCACCCGCCUGGGAGUACGGCGCAGGCUAAACUCAAGAUNACGGGGCCGCAC
rnacentral:rRNA from 1 species